rnacentral:rRNA from 1 species
CCAAUGCUUCUAAUUUCAUAGCAAGCUCGCUUGCUAUGAAAUAGGCAACCAGUAAUAUAAGCAAGUGUGUGCUAUUUAUAGCGCUAGCCUACAAACCUAUAAUUAUAUUAACUCUAAGAGAAAUUUAAUAAUAAACGAAGUGAAUUGAAAUAUCUUAGUAACUUUAGGAAAAGAAAUCAAAAGAGAUUCUAUGAUUAGCGUGAGCUAAAAUAGACUAGCCUAAAAAGUCAAAUGGUGGAUAAACUGUUUAAAUUAAAUGGGGAACCUUCCUCAAAGGCUAAAUAUAAUGUAUAAGCGAUAGUGGAAAGUACCGUGAGGGAACCAAAACAAAAACAGUGAUUUUAUAAGCAGUUCGGGAAAAUAAAAAAAAGUUAGAACGUACCUUUUGCAUAAUGGGUCACCAAGUUAACAUUAGAUGCGAGUAGGAGGCUUUGCCCAUACAUACGUAGUUAAACCGAGCGUUAAAAUAACGGUAAGUAUCUAAAGUUAGACCCGAAGCCUGGUGAUUUUACCAUAAUCAGGAUUAUAAAAGUCCGAACGGAAUAUUGUAGCAUAAAUAUCCGAAGAAUUAUGGUAGGUGUAGUGAAAGACAAUACUGACCAGGAUAGCUGGUUUUCUGCGAAACCUAUAACAGUAGGCAAUUUAAGUAUAAUAUCUUAGCAGGUACAGAAUUUAAUCUCAGACAAGACAUAAGGCUUAGCUUGCUAGCAAGUAAAGCUCAUGUUUUAUUUUGUACAAAUUGGGGGAUCAUGAAGAUUUUAUCAGUGAGUAUGUAGACUCGGAAUGGCAAAGAUAUAUCUUAAAUCAUCAGACAUAGAAUGAUAAGGUUGUAUGUCAAAAGGGAAACAGCCCAGAACAAGAGUUAAGGUUCCUAAAUUAUUAGUUGAGUGAAAUUAAGAAGGUUUUUAUUAAAGUCGACAAGGAGAUAGGCUUAGAAGCAGCCAUAAUUUUAUGACCUCGUAACAGAGCGCUUGUUAAGUUUUAAAAGCAUCGAAAAUUUAUCGGAUCUAAACAAUAUACCGAAACCUUGUCCAUAUUAUUUUAUAAUUAAAGCUUAAUUAUAAUUAAAUGGGGUAGCAGAACGUUGAGCUAAAUUAAGAUUUUUAUUUUUUAAAUGAAAUUAUAAUAAUUUAACUCAAGUGAUAAUGGUGACAUGAGUAACUAAAAGAAAAAAUAAAAUUUUUCCGCCUAAAGCUUAUGGAUGUAAUUAAGUAACGGCCUCUAAGUUUAUAUUAUCUAAAGAUUUAAACGAUGAGAUAAUCUUUUGUACUAAGGACGACAUUUUAAGUGAAAAAUGUACUGGAAAAAUAGUACUAAAUUAAUGGGUAUAGCUAAUUAGUUAGCUAUAGCUAUAAAUGAAAAGUAACCGUACCUAGAAUCUGAAACAAGUAAGCUAGUAGAGAAUACGAAGGCGUAAAUGAGCUAACAAUCAUAAAGGAACUCGGCAAAUUGACUACCGUAACUUCGGGAUAAGGAGAGCUCAUUAUUCUUGAUUAAUAUCAGGUAAAGAGGAAGAAGCAUGAAAUAGUGUUGUACGACUGUUUAAUUAAAACACAGCACUUUGCUGAAAGAUUAAAAAUCUAAGUAUAGAGUGUGAUGUCUGCCCGGUGCCGGCUGGUUAACAGAUAUAAUUAAAUAUACUAAUAUUUGAUGUAGACGGAAACCCCGGUUAAAGGCGGCCUUAACGUGAGGGUCCUAAGGUAGCGAAAUGCCUUGGCCGUUAAAUGCGGUCUUGCAUGAAUGAUGUAACGAUACAACAGCUGUCUCUAUGAUUGACUCAGUGAAAUUGGAAUAGCUGUGCAGAUACAGUUUACCUCUAGUUAGACGAGAAGACCCUAUGCAGCUUUACUGUCACUAAUUAUAGAGUAUGAUAAACAAUUUUCAGAUUAUAAGGUAAUUGACGGCUAGCUUGUUCAGCAAGCUAGCUCUAUGACAAUGAGAAUCCUUUAUUUUUUUUUCAUAUGAAUGAAUUGGUUUAGGAUUAUGAGUAGGUAGCGGCUUCUGCUACUUGGCGUAAGCAUUGCUUGCGUCAGGUGUCUGAAGUAUGCAUUCCAGCUCAUGCAUAGUAAAUCAACCUAAUUCAGCUUAUUUUCCUUUCUGCCAUAAGCGCAUAAUGAUAGAUUUAACUUAAAUUUUGAUUUAUGCCAGCUGCAGAAAUAGAUAAGUACCCUUGGCUAAGGAACUAUCGCUAGGGGACAGUUUAUGUGGGGCACAGACCCUGUAAAGAGUAAACAGGAGUGUCUAAUAAUUUAUAAUUAUUUUGUUUGCGAUUUAAGAUAGUGAAACUAUUUUUAAUCAUAUAAAAUUAUUUAUAUGUACAUUCGUUGUAUAUAUAUUUAAAAAAAGGUAGGAUUUUCACUAUAUAGAAAUUAGAGAUAAUAAAAAUAUUAAGAAUAUACGUUUCAGGCUGGGAGGGGGAAGCUCCUCCCUUUGAAAGGUAGCACUAAUAUUUUUUAGCUAUUAAGACAGGCUAUCAAGCUAGGCUCUAAUAGUUAUGUAU